rnacentral:lncRNA from 1 species
AUUGCGGCUCAGCUGCCUUUCUUCCUUCUGUGGUGUAAUUACAGCCCUAUCUGGAGACAGCGAACACAGCAAACAGAUUUUAUUACCUACUUCCCUCAAACACUAAGUGGAGUUAUUUUCAGUUCCUCUCCCUAAAAGUUUUAUCAGGGCGCAGCCUGCAGCACGCAGUGAAGAGAAAGUGUAAAGCUACAGAGGUUAAGAGCAAACGUGUGAGAUUCCAGCAGGAGAGAAGGCAAAACCCAAAAUAAUGUUCUAAGGAAUGCAGAAAAGUGGUGAGCUCCCUCAGCUAUCCAGGCGACCUCAAGUAUCCUAGCUCUCCCUUCCAGGACUGGCCCUGUGGACGCUUGUACUUACACCCAUCUCGCUGCUUUCUUUGGGACCUUUCGUCCCAGCAGCUUUGCAUCCGGUCUUCCGUCCCUUUACGGUACCGGCGGACUCAGGCUGCGGGAUCCCGGGGAGCAGGAGCCCCGCCCCCGCUGCUGAGUGACAGAGCUCUGGCUCCGCCCUCAGGGAGGUGCCUGGCCAUUCCUCAGGGCGCCCUUAGCGUUUAGGCAAGGUUUUUAAAAACCUGAUGCGUUGACAAAUCACACUAAAGUAUGAACUACUGACACAGGUGGUGUCACACACCUGGAUUCCCAGCUACUCCUGAGGCUGAGGCAAAAGGCUUGGAAGUUCAAGGCCAGCUUGGACGAUUUAGGGAGACCCUGUCUCAAAAUAAAAAAGGGCAGGCGGUGUGGCCCAUUGGUAUAGCGCUUGCCUAGCGUGGAUUCAGUCCCCAGCGUUGCAAAGUGACAUACGAAAUAUCGAUGGCCUUUCUCUAAGCGCCUUCUGGGACGUUUACUUCAUAACUCAUACUAAGUUCAACGUUAGACAGUCCUAAGGAGCAGUCUGGGGUCCCAGAACAUUUCUUAUUCACACCUCUCAGCCUGCCCCUGAGCGUGCUGGAAAAGGUGGGGAAUAGGUAGUCAGUGGCCCUAGAAGUCUCCCUUGCUCCCCUCCCCUCCUCCUCCCCAGGCCCAGUUCCUCUCUGGAGGGAAGAACUCAUUCAAUAGCCAUUGUCCUGCUUCCCUCCACCACCUGCUCUCAAACUUCACUUCAGACCCCCAUGACCCCACCUGUACUCUUCUC